GUGGGGAAUAUUGGACAAUGGGCGAAAGCCUGAUCCAGCCAUGCCGCGUGUGUGAAGAAGGUCUUCGGAUUGUAAAGCACUUUAAGUUGGGAGGAAGGGCAGUAAGUUAAUACCUUGCUGUUUUGACGUUACCAACAGAAUAAGCACCGGCUAACUUCGUGCCAGCAGCCGCGGUAAUACGAAGGGUGCAAGCGUUAAUCGGAAUUACUGGGCGUAAAGCGCGCGUAGGUGGUUCAGCAAGUUGGAGUUGAAAUCCCCGGGCUCAACCUGGGAACUGCCUCCAAAACUGCAUGACUAGAGUACGGUAGAGGGUAGUGGAAUUUCCUGUGUAGCGGUGAAAUGCGUAGAUAUAGGAAGGAACACCAGUGGCGAAGGCGACUACCUGGACUGAUACUGACACUGAGGUGCGAAAGCGUGGGGAGCAAACAGGAUUAGAAACCCCUGUAGUCC
rnacentral:rRNA from 1 species